rnacentral:lncRNA from 10 species
CUCUCGCCUGGCUGGCCGUGGGGGGCCUGGACGCAGUGGCCUCCCGAAUCUCCCAGGACCCUAAUAUCGCCCGAGGAUGCUGGGAGGAACGCUGAGCCGACCUCUCCGUUAGGCUGAAGAUUGCACAAACCAUGCUAAUGGCCAGCAUGGAUGGAGGGAGCGUGUGAGAUGUGUGGGGCAGCGUGCUGCAUCUCAGCCAACUCCAGGAGCCAGUUGAUGUGAUGGACUACCUUAAUUGAUUUUUGAAUGUUGAGCCAGCCUUAUGCAUGUGGGAUAAACCCCUGUUGAUCAUGGCUGGCUGGAGUGCAGUGGUGCAAUCAUGGCUCACUGCAACCUCAAAUUCCUGGGCUCAAGGGAUCCUCCUGCCUCAGCCUCCCAAGUAGCUAGGACUACAGCUUUCCAAAGAGCUGUCCAAAAUGCCCCCUGCCCCCUGCUUUUCCACAGAGGAACCCCAGCCAUCUCAGUGUGUGUCUCCCUCACCCAGCUGACCUGGCCGAAGGCUGUUCUAGGUGCCAAGAGGACCCUUCUCUCAUCGUGGGGAGCACUCGGGGAUGGUUGCGUUUCCUGCCUCAUCCCAUUACUGAGGCUUGCUACUCAUCUCCCUCCGGGGCACUCUCUUACCCGAGUUGAGAUACCUCUGCAACUGAGGGGUUGACUCCAUGUCAUUUAAAAUGGACUUUCCAGCUACAUUUGUAAAAUGUCAUGAUGCUCAUAAGAAAUAAUAAAUCUAUGCAAUUUAGUUGAGAAAAAUUUCAACUCAACUCAGA